UCUUGUAUUUUUAAAAAAAUCUUUUCUGUAGGGCUGUCAUGGGUUUUCAAUAUUGUUGUGCCCCGGGUUGCAAAAACAAAUAACAUUAGAGUUUGUAAUGCACAUUUUGUUCUAGGUAAGUCUCGACAAAUUUAUUCAUAGUGAAUGUGUCUAUCUAAUUCUUCUAUUUGAAAUCACACAGGAAAACCUUUUUAGUACACUGGAGAAACACACCCAGACUGGGCCCCAUCCCUGAAUCUUGACAAAGUGUAUGUUAACGCUAAGUCAGCCAUGGAUAGAGAGUCAAGAAGAGUAAUUUUAAAUGUUCAAGAGGUCUCAAGGCCCUUGUAAGCCUUUAAAUCUUCAUGCGUGUAUGGAGACUUGGAACAUAGCAGGUAAUUUACCAAAUCAAGAUUGGUUACCAGUGGCAUUUUUCCUGCGAUGCUAAGUCCAUUGCACCAAUACUCUUCGUGAAUUGUAUAGGGGCAAUCACAACCUACUAUUAAUAGUUUUGCUGCAUACUUACGUUUAUCUUCCGACAGCCCUACAGAAAAGAUUUUUUUAAAAAUACAAGAAAUGUGAUCUGGAAA